CCCUACGGGAGGCAGCAGUGGGGAAUCCUGGACAAUGGGGGCAAGCCGGAUCCAGCCAGCCGCGGGGCAAGAAGGCCCCCGGGCGGUAAAGCCCUUUGGCGGGAGGAAGUAAAGCUGGCUAAUACCGAGGAUAAUGACGGUACUUCAGAGAAGCACAGCUAUUCG
rnacentral:rRNA from 1 species